UACGUAGGGUGCGAGCGUUGUCCGGAAUUAUUGGGCGUAAAGGGCUCGUAGGCGGUUUGUCGCGUCGGGAGUGAAAACCCGGGGCUCAACUCCGGGCUUGCGGGCGAUACGGGCAGGCUAGAGUUCGGUAGGGGAGUCUGGAAUUCCUGGUGUAGCGGUGAAAUGCGCAGAUAUCAGGAGGAACACCGGUGGCGAAGGCGGGACUCUGGGCCGAUACUGACGCUGAGGAGCGAAAGCGUGGGGAGCAAACAGG
rnacentral:rRNA from 1 species